GACUCAAAAUCCAGUUCCCGCAAUGGUUAGGACGUUCGCCUGUCACGCGAAAGAUCACGGGUUCGAAUCCCGUUGUGAGUUG
rnacentral:tRNA from 1 species